rnacentral:rRNA from 1 species
AGGGAAUCUUCCACAAUGGACGCAAGUCUGAUGGAGCAACGCCGCGUGAGUGAAGAAGGCUUUCGGGUCGUAAAACUCUGUUGUUGGAGAAGAAUGGUCGGCAGAGUAACUGUUGUCGGCGUGACGGUAUCCAACCAGAAAGCCACGGCUAACUACGUGCCAGCAGCCGCGGUAAUACGUAGGUGGCAAGCGUUAUCCGGAUUUAUUGGGCGUAAAGCGAGCGCAGGCGGUUUUUUAAGUCUGAUGUGAAAGCCCUCGGCUUAACCGAGGAAGCGCAUCGGAAACUGGGAAACUUGAGUGCAGAAGAGGACAGUGGAACUCCAUGUGUAGCGGUGAAAUGCGUAGAUAUAUGGAAGAACACCAGUGGCGAAGGCGGCUGUCUGGUCUGUAACUGACGCUGAGGCAUGAAAGCGUGGGGAGCAAAC